rnacentral:rRNA from 1 species
GGCUUUUGGGAUUAGCAUACGGUCACCCGCUAGCUGCCUUCUGUACCCCCCAUUGUAACACGUGUGUAGCCCCGGACGUAAGGGCCGUGCUGAUUUGACGUCAUCCCCACCUUCCUCACAUCUUACGACGGCAGUCUCUCCAGAGUCCUCAGCAUGACCUGUUAGUAACUGAAGAUAAGGGUUGCGCUCGUUAUGGCACUUAAGCCGACACCUCACGGCACGAGCUGACGACAACCAUGCAGCACCUUCACAGCGGUGAUUGCUCACUGACAUGUUUCCACAUCAUUCCACUGCAAUUUAAGCCCGGGUAAGGUUCCUCGCGUAUCAUCGAAUUAAACCACAUGUUCCUCCGCUUGUGCGGGCCCCCGUCAAUUCCUUUGAGUUUCACCGUUGCCGGCGUACUCCCCAGGUGGAAUACUUAAUGCUUUCGCUUGGCCGCUUACUGUAUAUCGCAAACAGCGAGUAUUCAUCGUUUACUGUGUGGACUACCAGGGUAUCUAAUCCUGUUUGAUACCCACACUUUCGAGCAUCAGUGUCAGUUGCAGUCCAGUGAGCUGCCUUCGCAAUCGGAGUUCUUCGUGAUAUCUAAGCAUUUCACCGCUACACCACGAAUUCCGCCCACCUCUACUGUACUCAAGACUGACAGUAUCAACUGCAAUUUUACGGUUGAGCCGCAAACUUUCACAACUGACUUACCAGUCCACCUACGCUCCCUUUAAACCCAAUAAAUCCGGAUAACGCUCGGAUCCUCCGUAUUACCGCGGCUGCUGGCACGGAGUUAGCCGAUCCUUAUUCAUAUAAUACAUACAAAACAGUAUACAUACUGCACUUUAUUCUUAUAUAAAAGAAGUUUACGACCCAUAGAGCCUUCAUCCUUCACGCUACUUGGCUGGUUCAGGCUAACGCCCAUUGACCAAUAUUCCUCACUGCUGCCUCCCGUAGGAGUUUGGACCGUGUCUCAGUUCCAAUGUGGGGGACCUUCCUCUCAGAACCCCUAUCCAUCGAAGGCUUGGUGGGCCGUUACCUCACCAACAACCUAAUGGAACGCAUCCCCAUCCUUUACCGGAAUCCUUUAA